ACGUCAUCAGCUGUGCAGACAGAGCGAGAAUGCCAGGCAAACAUCAACAACCUGAUCUUCCUUCCUGAUUUGUUCCACUGCUAGAGGAGGGACAGGAUGACUCUCUAUCAGUGACAAAGAAAUGAUGGACAGAUAUCCAGGCACCUCUUCCUCUAAAGCCUGUGGUAUGAUUAGUGCUGACUGCCAUGAAAAACUGCAUCAGUCGAAAAGAAAUUAAGGAGGAAAUUGAGGAAAACAUUCCAGGAUAUUCCUCCAUAUAGUGGACGUCAAUGGGGUUCAAGGUCCAAAUUGCAGUUUCAAUGCAGCUUCAAAUGGCUCUACACAGUCCCAGCCGAGGAAUAUAGGUCUUAUCUAGCAGAAUGAUUUGUCAAUUUUUAUUAUUAUUAUUAUUUUGCAUUUAAAUUUAUAUACUUUUUAAACACAUACGCUUGUCUUGCAAUAGCUCUGCGAUGUGUGCCCAUGGACCUUCACCCGUUGUUAUCUAUAACAAUCUGAUACAGUAUUCAUAAAUGUGUUUGUUAUCAGAAUAUGAUCUGAGCACAGUAAACUACACAAUAAACACACUACAGACCAGGUAUUAGUUCUCCAACAUGCUUUGGUAGCACUUAUUUCAGAGCCGAGCUGAGCUGCCAGACACUGAUGGAUAGCCAGGCUGUCUGAAGCUCAUAUUGUUGGGGAAAUUAAAGUGGUAGGUGAGUCAAUAAACAUUAUAAGGUUUUGGGUCAAGGGACCUUUCACUGGCACACUCGACUCCAAUCACUCAUUUGGUCUUCUUACGAUAAAUAUCAAAAUAUCUCCAGAUCAGUGCUAGCAACCCUACAUAAACUACUACUAACAACAGACAUCUGAUUACACUUAAGCUACACUUUAAAAAAUGCUGGGUUAAAAUCAACCCAGCACUAGGUGAAAUAUAGACAAACCGAGCGAAUGGGUUGUUUUGACCCAGCAGUAGGAUUAAACAUUUAACCCAGCCUUCUGGGUAGUUUUAUUUAACUUAACUAUUGCUCAAAAACAACUGUAUUUCUCACUUAAAAUGAAUCCAAAAUAGGUUUGAAAUUAACAUUUAUUAAUAUGUUCAAUAAAUUAACAUUUAUUAAUAAGAGGUGGGGGCUCAAAUAGGUGAUUUUUUUUUUUUUUUUUUAAUUUGCAUGAACUGUCUGAUUGAUUAUUCUGAAUGAGUCAAACCUUCUGACUUUAAAUAUGAGAACUGUUCAUUCCAAUCAAAUUCAUCAAUCAAACUUUCCAAUGUUACUCGUAUAGAGAGUGAGAGAACUUUUCAGACUAAACAAGUCACUAGAAUGAAAUGGACUUUCUAACUCUACUCAUUAUGACAGAGACAGAACUGUUCAGGGUGAACCAAGUCACUAAAAAUGAGUUAUACUUACUAACUCUACUCAUUUGAGAAAAAGGAACAUUUAGGAUGAAUCAAUUCACAAAGUACUGCCAAACUACUUAAGAUAUUACCUACUUUUAGUGAGUAACACCCCAACACUGUUUCAGUAGUGCAGUACAUAUCUAAAUACUACCAUACAUUAUUUUAAUGAAGAGGUGUUAAAAAGUUAACCAUUCUCUUAUAGUAUUUAUCCAGCUCAGCAGACUUCAUUUAUGACCAUUAAAAAAAAAAAAAAAAAAAAAAAUCUUCUCUUUGAAUAGAGAUCUGAACAGCUUAUGAUCACUUUUCCUGUGAUAUUUUUAAUACACCUAAUACCUAACACAAUUACUGCCUGCCUGUGUCUAUGCAAAUGAUCCAUCUGCUCCAGGGAACCUCAUGAGGGUCUAUUGUGGAGAGCAGCGUGAUUGGGUCCUAUUGUCUGUCUUAUCUGCUGUGUUCAUUGCAGAUUGGAAAGCACUGCUCAUUUCCUUGUCUUUUGAUGCCAGUGGGAGUGGGAUUUUUGACAGGAUUUUUCUGUUGCUAUAUUGCACCUGAAAACCUUGAGACACCGUGAUGAUGAGUGACUAUAUUUAUUUAUUAAACUUCAAAUUUAUUCUCAUUAAAAAAAGAAGGAAUGUCAAUCAAAUCACUGUCAUCUUUUAAAAAGGACAUUAACUUGGGUAGAUGUGAACAAGAGUUCAGUUUGUAUUCAUACUGAUAAAAGUUGUUUUCCUGAUUUUGCAGAAAUAAUUUGUCUUGCAUGACAGGCCAUUUUUCAUUAUCACUCCUAAAUGUGUAAAUAUGUUUACCUCAUCUCACCAGCUAUAAAAUAUGCUUUAGCUUUUUAGUCAAGUUUAAGUUAUGUUUUAUGUAUUGAAGUCAUGGAUGAAGUUGGAUGUUGCCUCACAAACAAGACACUAGCUAUUUGUAACACCAAGAUAAUGAAAGUUAAUAUUGGCCAAUAUUUAACAAAACAGCACAUUAAUCAAGCUAUUCAUUAUAGAAGAAAGAUGACUGCACUGCUGUAUCCAAACAACACAAUAAGCACCCUUUGCUUUACCCUCAUAUAUUUUGCAACCUGUUUUCUUGUAUUUAAUAUUCAUUAACGCUUCUAUUUAGGCCUUAAGUACCGACUCAAUUUGUCUAUGGCUUAUAAAGGACUAUGGCUGUGUAAAUUCAAUCCUGCUAAAAUGUUUUAUUGCCCUAAUCCAUAAUAUGAAAUUGCAUUCAUAACCAGUACAAUAUAUUUGUGCCAAGAAGCAAGCAAACAAACAAAUGCAUUAAAAAAUCAUGCCAAUUUCCCUUUUCAAUCUGUGACUUAAGGUCAUUUUGAAAGCAAUCAUUUCAUCUGUAUAAAUCAACAGCUCUCUCACAUGGGUCAGCGUACCUCCCUGAAAUUAAUUUUAGAGAUGCAUAUGUUAAGCAAAAUAAAGCAAUAAAUCACUUGCAUUGGAAGAAAGACAAAAAUUGGAUAGAGUGAGAGAGUCUGUGGGAUGGAAAGAUAGAUAAAGUGUAUUUGCACGAGCACAUGAGUAGGUUUAAGUGUCUGUGGGCGUCCUAACUGGGUUUAUGCAUUUGCCAUCCAGCAGGACCUUGAGGGCAGACCUCACACGUUCAUUUCCGCAAUCACUGUCAUUCACCUUAGACACAAUGACCACAUUUACGAGCCCCAGCAUCCAAUUUACAUGAGAGCUCAUAAAACCUGACCACAAUUUUAUAUCAUUGGCCAUUAAUGACAGGGAUCACUGCCUUCACCAUCAGGACAGAAGAAGAAUGGAAAAUAAAGCCCAAAGGGACAUCAGGCAGCAUGCAUGGAAGAACGUUACACUCACAUACACACAUCAUUACAGCCAUGAAUAAUGGUGGGUCAAUAAGUCAUAAAAAUGUCUCUUGUUAGCGAUCUCUUGUGUUUUUUAGACCUCCGAAUAAAUAACCCCUAAAACUUAUAAAAUGUCUGUCCACAAUGUUUCAGCAAUCAUUUUUUUUUCUG